GACGAACGCUGGCGGCGUGCUUAACACAUGCAAGUCGAACGGAAAGGCCCUGCUUUUGUGGGGUGCUCGAGUGGCGAACGGGUGAGUAACACGUGAGUAACCUGCCCUUGACUUUGGGAUAACUUCAGGAAACUGGGGCUAAUACCGGAUAGGAUCUCCUGCUGCAUGGUGGGGGUUGGAAAGUUUCGGCGGUUGGGGAUGGACUCGCGGCUUAUCAGCUUGUUGGUGGGGUAGUGGCUUACCAAGGCUUUGACGGGUAGCCGGCCUGAGAGGGUGGCCGGCCACAUUGGGACUGAGGUACGGCCCAGACUCGUACGGGAGGCAGCAGGGGGGAAUAUGGCACAAUGGGCGGAAGCCUGAUGCAGCAACGCCGCGUGCGGGAUGACGGCCUUCGGGUUGUAAACCGCUUUCGCCUGUGACGAAGCGUGAGUGACGGUAAUGGGUAAAGAAGCACCGGCUAACUACGUG
rnacentral:rRNA from 1 species